rnacentral:rRNA from 1 species
CGCGUAGGCGGCCCGGCAAGUGGUGUGUGAAAUGCCCUGGCUCAACCAGGGAACUGCGCCCCAAACUGCUUGGCUUGAGGACAGUAGAGGAAGCUGGAAUUCCGGGUGUAGCGGUGAAAUGCGUAGAUAUCCGGAGGAACACCGUUGGCGAAGGCGAGCUUCUGGGCUGUUCCUGACGCUGAGGCGCGAAAGCUGGGGGAGCAAACA